rnacentral:rRNA from 1 species
AUUGAACGCUGGCGGCAGGCCUAACACAUGCAAGUCGAGCGGAUGAAGGGAGCUUGCUCCUGGAUUCAGCGGCGGACGGGUGAGUAAUGCCUAGGAAUCUGCCUGGUAGUGGGGGAUAACGUCCGGAAACGGGCGCUAAUACCGCAUACGUCCUGCGGGAGAAAGUGGGGGAUCUUCGGACCUCACGCUCUCAGAUGAGCCUAGGUCGGAUUAGCUAGUUGGUGGGGUAAAGGCCUACUAAGGCGACGAUCCGUAACUGGUCUGAGAGGAUGAUCAGUCACACGGGAACUGGGACACGGUCCAGACUCCUAAGGGAGGCAGCAGUGGGGAAUAUUGGACAAUGGGCGAAAGCCUGAUCCAGACAUGCCGCGUGUGUGAAGAAGGUCUUCGGAUUGUAAAGCACGUUAAGUUGGGAGGAAGGGCAGUAAGUUAAUACCUUGCUGUUUUGACGUUACCAACAGAAUAAGCACCGGCUAACUUCGUG